AUUGAACGCUGGCGGCAGGCCUAACACAUGCAAGUCGAACGAGUGGCGGACGGGUGAGUAAUGUCUGGGCCACUACCUUCUGGAGGGGGAUACCUACUGGAAACGGUAGCUACUACCGCUUACCAUCGGAUUAGCCCAGGUGGGAUUAGGUAUUUGGUGGGGUAAAGGCUAACCAAGGCGACGAUCACUAGCUGGUCUGAGAGGAUGACCGGCCACACGGGAACGGAGAAACGGCCCAGACUCAUACGUGAGUCGGCAGUGGGGAAUAUUGCACAAUGGGGGAAAGCCUGACGCAGCCAGGCCGCGUGUAUGAAGAAGGCCGUCGGGUUGUAAAGUACUUUCAGUAGGGAGGCGUUAACUGCAGAAGAAGCACCGGCUAACUCCGUGCCAGCCGCCGCGGUAAUUC
rnacentral:rRNA from 1 species